UACGGAGGGUGCGAGCGUUAAUCGGAAUGACUGGGCGUAAAGGGCACGCAGGCGGUGUGUUAAGUCAGAUGUGAAAUCCCCGGGCUUAACCCGGGAAUGGCAUUUGAAACUGGCAUGCUGGAGUCUCGUAGAGGCGGGCAGAAUUCCGAGGUGUAGCGGUGAAAUGCGUAGAGAUCUGGAGGAAUACCGGUGGCGAAGGCGGCCCGCUGGACGAAGACUGACGCUGAGGUGCGAAAGCAUGGGGAGCAAACAGG
rnacentral:rRNA from 1 species